UACGUAGGGUGCGAGCGUUAAUCGGAAUUACUGGGCGUAAAGCGUGCGCAGGCGGCGCGUUAAGACAGGUGUGAAAGCCCCGAGCUUAACUUGGGAAUUGCGCUUGUGACUGGCGUGCUGGAGUGUGGCAGAGGGAGGUGGAAUUCCACGUGUAGCAGUGAAAUGCGUAGAGAUGUGGAGGAACACCGAUGGCGAAGGCAGCCCCCUGGGCUAACACUGACGCUCAUGCACGAAAGCGU
rnacentral:rRNA from 1 species